UUUUUUAUUUUAAUUUUGCUUAGAAGGGUAUAAUAGUAAAAUUGUUACUUUUCUUUCUUUUCUUCUCUACUCGAGAACAUACAAAAUGUUUAUUUUCGUCUCAUUUUCUUUCCAUCCCUUGGGAACACAAAUAAAUUUUUAAUUUUUCCUUUAUAUUUCUUUCCUUUCUCUCCUAAACUUUCUUUAUUUCCUUUUUAGGUAAAUUACACUUUUCGUCCUUUAUGUUUGUAGUUGGUUGCAAUGAAUAGCCUUUAACUUUAAUAAUUACAGUUACAAUCCUUUAUUUGGAAAACGCAUUACACUUUUUGUCCUUUAGCACUAACCAAGUUAAAAUUUUCAGUUAUGUCUAUACACUUAAAGGUAUUCUAGUUAUUUCAUGUUUUUAUUUUACAUGUUUAUUAAUAAAUAAACACAUCUUCCCCAAUUCCCACCCUAACCCUAGAAUCUCUCAUCUUCAUAUUUCUCAAACCUGAUGGUGUCAUCUUCUUCACAGCAUAUCUACAUCUAAUCCCUAGCUUAAUCAUUUCCAAAUUACUCAAUCAUCACGCUGUGUUUAUAUAAAUUAUAUUAGAGGUUUUGAUCUACGUUCAAACCCGCUUCAAACAAUACAAGACUCACUUACCAAAACUGUGCUGUGCGUUUUUCCGGCAAGAGAGAGUUUCCGCUGAAACUCCGGUAACGGUGUAGGUUGGAAUAAAAUAUUAAAUAUAUUUGGGAGUGAAGGCAAAGUAUUUAUUGGAAAAACUUUUGGCUAUUCGAAUUCCAAUUAAAGUCCAGGUUGGGUAUUCAAAGGGUGCCGCCGGCAACAGACAACUACUCCCGGUAAUUUUGAACCUCUUUUUCUCUCUGAUCCGUCAAGCCGUCCAGAUCUACAAUCAAAAACUCGAAUAACUCCUUAUCGUGCGUCGUUUCCAUCAUUGAUUCUGAUGACCACACGUCACUGACUACCUAUCGAUCUUAAACCUCCUUCUCUAUCUGAUCGUUCUGAUCCUUCACGGUGUCUAUAUCUACCGUCAAAAACUCGAACAAUUCCUUUUCGUGUGCCGUUUUCAUCACCGAAUAUGAUAAAGUGUUAUAGCUAGGGUAUUUUGGCAGUGGUGGUGGAUUUGAUAAAGUGGAUAUAACUAGGGUAUUUUGGCACUGGUGGUGGUGCGGUGGCUGAAGAUGGUUGCAGAAAUUUAACACUCAUAUUCAGUCCAUCAAACUGAUGGGUUUAUAAUAUUAGAUUCAGGUCCAUUAGUCCAUUAAUAUGCUGGAACACAGCGUAAAUCUAACGAUUCACACGUCGUUCAACCCUAAAUCACAACAUCGUCGUUCAGUGUCAUCAGAGAUCGUGAAGAUUGCAUACAUAUUUCAUUGAAUUCAACACCACAACCGAAUCGAUUAGGGCUUAAUUAGCGCUUCAAGUGUUCGACGGAUUUAGUUCAACAUCACAACCGAAUCAAUUGCAUACAUGACGGAUUUAGUUCAACAUCACAACCGAAUCGAUUCGAAUAGUGAAGCUCUGGUUAGGGAAUCAACAUCACAACUAAAUCUAUUCCUCGUUUUCAGAAAUCAAUUGAAGGAAAUUUAUCAAGAUCUAUCUCAACCGCCUGGAUUUAGUUUGAAUCGGAUCUUGAGAAAUUGCAACAUAUCUGGAGAAAUACCGGAAUAUAUCUGGUAAGUGAGAGAACUUGAACUACUGGAUUUAUGUUUCAAUAGGCUAGUAGGGAGGAUAUCUUAUAACAUCCUAAUCAGUAGGGUGAGAUUAGUGAUUUUGACUGGUAAUAUGCUAAGUGGAGACUUUCCGGAUAAACUUUUGGUAACUAGAGCUAGCAUGUAAGUUUGUUUCUAGAAAAAUUAUGUUGAAACUUCAUGUGCAUACUUACUUUUUGGACCUGUUACACCUGUUAUACGGUUUAAAACAGAAGAAGAGGCUAUACAGAUUGCUAAUGACACUGAUUCAGGAUUAGCUGCUUACUUGUUCACAAACAAUAUUCAGUGUUUAUGGCGCGUGUCUGAAGCUCUUGAAUAUGGUCUUGUUGGAGUAAAUAAUCAUGCGUCUUUUCACAGGUAGCACCCUUUGGAGGUGUUAAGCAGUCUGAUUUAGGUCGGGAAUGUUCUAAUUACGGAUUAGAUGAGUAUCUUGAGAUCAGGUGCAUUUGUAUGGGAAACAUGGGCUGAUACGGAUCACCCUUAUACAAACACGCACUUUUAGUUUGGAUGUUUGGAUUUGAAUAAUUUAAUUUGAGUUAUAUGAUGUUUUGAUUUGGAUGUUUAUUUGAGGACCAUUGGAUGUAUAAACUUUUACAUUUUAAUGGAACGCGUUUCUGAUUCUAGAACGCUUGAGCA